AUUGAACGCUGGCGGCAGGCCUAACACAUGCAAGUCGAACGAGUGGCGGACGGGUGAGUAAUGCCUGGGAAACUGCCCGAUGGAGGGGGGGAACUACUGGAAACGGCAGCUAAUACCGCAUACCAUCGGAGGAGCCCAGAUGGGAUUAGCUAGUGGGUGGGGUAAAGGCUAACUUAGGCGACGAUCCCUGGCUGGUCUGAGAGGAUGACCAGCCACACUGGAACUGAGACACGGUCCAGACGCCUACGGGAGGCAACAGUGGGGAAUAUUGCACAAUGAGCACAAGCCUGAUGCGGCCAUGCGGCGUGAAUGAAGAAGGCCUUCGGGUUGUAAAGUACUUUCAGCGGGGAAGCGUUACCCGAAGAGAAAGCACCGGCUAACUCCGUGCCAGCAGCCGCGGUAAUUC
rnacentral:rRNA from 1 species